rnacentral:rRNA from 1 species
AACCCACCCAUUUUUAUCUUGGGUGACCUCAGAUCAGGUAGGGAUACCCCGCUGAACUUAAGCAUAUCAAUAAGCGGAGGCAAGAAACCAACAGGGAUUGCCUUAGUAACGGCGAGUGAAGCGGCAAAAGCUCAGAUUUGAAAUCUGGCGUCAUUUUGGCGUCCGAGUUGUAAUCUGUAGAGGAGUAUUCGAGUGUAGCUUUGGCUUAAGUUCCUUGGAACAGGGCGUCAUAGAGGGUGAGAACCCCGUUAACGGCCUUUGUCUUAUGCUCAUGUGAAUCUCCUUCAACGAGUCGAGUUGUUUGGGAAUGCAGCUCUAAAUGGGUGGUAAAUUCCAUCUAAAGCUAAAUACUGGCAAGAGACCGAUAGCGCACAAGUAGAGUGAUCGAAAGAUGAAAAGAACUCUGAACAGAGAGUUAAAUAGUACGUGAAAUUGUUGAAAGGGAAGCACUUGCGACCAGACGCACUUGCAGCCGAUCAACCUCCAUUCUUGGUGGUGCACUCGGUUGUAGGUGGGUCAGCAUCAGUUACGGCGGUGGGAAAAAGACCUUGGGAAUGUGGCUCUCUUCGGGGAGUGUUAUAGCCCUUGGUGUAAUGCUGCCAGCUGUGACUGAGGACCGCGCUUCGGUGAGGAUGCUGACAUAAUGGUCGUAAGUGACCCGUCUUGAAACACGGACCAAGGAGUCUAACAUCUAUGCGAGUGUUUGGGUGUUGAAACCCUUACGCGUAAUGAAAGUAAAUGGAGGUGGGAACCGCAAGGUGCACCAUCGACCGAUCCUGAUGUUUUCGGAUGGAUUUGAGUAGGAGCAUAGCUGUUGGGACCCGAAAGAUGGUGAACUAUGCCUGAAUAGGGUGAAGCCAGAGGAAACUCUGGUGGAGGCUCGCAGCGGUUCUGACGUGCAAAUCGAUCGUCAAAUUUGGGUAUAGGGGCGAAAGACUAAUCGAACCAUCUAGUAGCUGGUUCCGGCCGAAGUUUCCC